rnacentral:rRNA from 1 species
GCCCGCGGUUAAAAAGGUUGGGUGGCCAAGCUUUUGUCCGGUAUUUAUUGGGGCGAAAAGCGGGCCGCAGGGGGUUUUUUUAAAAUUUAAUGGGAAAGCCCCCCGGCUCACCCCGGGGAGGGCCAUUGGAAAACGGGGAGAUUUGAGUGCGAAAGAGGAGAGUGGAAUUUCCAGGGGUAGCGGUGAAAUGCGUAGAUAUAUGGAGGACCCCAGGGGCGAAGGCGGUUUUCUGGUCUGAAACUGACGCUGAGGCUGGAAAGGGUGGGGAGCAAACAGGAUAGAAUACCCUGGUAGUCCACGCGGUAAACGAUGAGUGUUAAGUGUUGGAGGGUUUCCGCCUUUCAGUGCUGCAGCUAACGCAUUAAGCACUCCGCGUGGGGAGUACGACGGCAAGGUUGAAAUUAAAAGGAAUUGACGGGGGCCCCCACAAGCGGUGGAGCUUGUGUUUUAAUUGGAAGCAAGGGGAAGACCCUUACCUGUUCUCGUCUUCUUUUGACCAUUGUAGAGAUAGAGUUUCCCCUUCGGGGGAAAAGUGACAGGUGGUGCAUGGUGGUCGUCAGUUGGAAAAAAAAGAUGUUGGGUUAAGUCCCGCAACGAGCCCAACCCUUAUUGUUAGUUGCCAUCAUUCAGUGGGGCAUUCUGGCAAGACUGCCGGUGACAAACCGGAGGAAGGUGGGGAUGACGUCAAAUCAUCAUCCCCUUUAUGACCUGGGCUACACACGUGCUACAAUGGGAAGUACAAGGAGUUGCGAAGUCGGGAGGUUAAGUUAAUUUCUAAAACUUUCUCUCAGUUGGGAUUGCAGGCUGCAACUCGCCUGCAUGAAGCGGGAAUCGCUAGUAAUCGCGGAUCAGCACGCCGCGGUGAAUACUUUCCCGCCCUAAGGCACCCCCCCCGUCACCCCGGGAGAGUUUGUACCUUAAAAGGGGGUGAGGUAACUUUUUGGAGCCAGCAGCCUAAGGUGGGAUAGAUGAUGGGGUAAGUCUAACAAGGUUGGGUUGG